rnacentral:lncRNA from 1 species
GAGACCCGGAUAAAGGGAUCGCGGCACCGGUUCGAGAACCCUCGGCGGCGGAGGAGGCGGCGGCGGCGGCGGCGGCGGUGGCGGCGCGCGGGUCACGCCGAGAGGAGAACCCGGAUGUAAAGUCCAAGAUGAAGGCAGUGCGGCGAGUUUGUCUUAGCCUUCUCUCCAAGUCCAGCAAGUUUAUUGCUACGCUUGUUCCGGCCUUCUGCUUCAAAGGAAACAGAACCAAAACAAGCACCUCUUCGCUCCGCCCCCUCGCAGGUUCUUGCACUACCGGGUGGGGCCCCGGGGCGCUGCGCACGCGCGCCAGGGCACAGCCCCGCCCCUUACUCGGAAGUACGUGGGCAAAAUCGCCGCCGCCGCCGCCACAACAAUUGCAACACCAACCAAUUGAGCAGCUGCGUGGGACCUCGACGACGCCCACGGGCCAAUCACAGGCGAGUGCUCGCCCUCCGGUGCCCUCCGUCUCAAAUUUCAGUCAAAGUCGACACCCUGGUUCCCAGCCUUUCUCCCCGUCAGUUCCGUCUUGCUCUUCACUUUUCUCCCCGAAGCUCUGACCUGCAGGCGUCGGUACUGCGGACGGACAGCGUGGCCUGUCCCACGUACGACAGGAAAAACACCUCCCCUCCAGGAUUCCAACUUGAACGCUGUCAGCCGGAAUGACUGGAAAACAUCAACACUCCCGGGAGCAUAGCUGGCCCCUGUAGCGUCACUUCCGGUCCCACCCACCUACAAAUACCCUUCCGGGGGAGGCGGACACCGCUUCGCCCCGGCAACAGCCUGAGUUCUGCGGUGAUUGGUUAAGAGACGCCGUCACUCGCGGCAUACCGACCAACCUUGGGACAGACAGGCGCCGUGGGGACAGUGGUUGUUUGGGAAACAGACACGCCUUCUCUGGCACCACAGCACUCUCGGCCUCGCGUUGACCUCCCCGCCCCUAUGGCUAGUGCGCAGGCGCGGCCCAGCCUUUUUUUUUUUUUUUUUUUUUUUUUUUCCUAAUUGAGACAGGGGUCUCACUCUGUCGCCCAGGUUGGAAUGCAGUGGCGCGAUCAUAGCUCACUGCAAACUCCAACUCCCAGGUUCAAGCGAUCCUCCCGCCUCAGCCUCCCGAAUAGCUGGGACCACAGGCGCGCACCACUACGACCGGCUAAUUUUUUUUUCACUUUUUUGUAGGGACAAAGUCUCACUAUGUUGCCCAGGCUGAUCUCCAGCUCCCGGGCUCAAGCGAUCCUCCCGCCUCGGCUUCCCAGAGUGCUGGGAUUACAGGCGUUAGUCACCGCGCCUGGCCAAGCCCAGCCUUUUUCUAAAACUGAGUUUGCUUGGGUCGAUCGAGGUUUAUGAAAGCUCUGUCACCAGUCAGCGUCUCAAAAUGGGGUUGGCAGAAUCCCUGCUAUUGAGUAGCUGGAGAGCUACACGCUAAUCCUAGCUCUGCCCUUCCUGUCUGAGUGAUCUUUGUCAGUCAUUUAAAACCCACCCCGUCCUCAAUUUUUGUUGUUGUUGUUUACUUUUUUAUAGAACGCUUCACGUAUUUGCGUGUCAUCCUUUCGCAUAGUGCCAUGCUAAUCUCUGUAUCGUUCUAAUUUUAGUAUAUGUGGUGCGAAGUGAGCACCCAUCCUUAAUUUCUAUUCUAUAAAUUGGCAAUAAUUCUAAUCCGAGGAUCAGAGAUUAAUGCUUGUGAAGGGCCUGGUGCUGUGCCCAGCACAUAGGAAGUGUUCAAUAAAGUAGUCUGCAUGGUGGUGCAGUGGAAGGAUCCCAGGCUUUGGAGCCAGAAAGACCUCAGUUCCAGGCACAGAUGGACCAUUACCAACUGUAUGACCUUGAGCAAGUCAUUGUGUCACUUUUGAGAUUACCCAUGUGUAAAACAGGAAUGAUAAUACCUGCCCAGACUACCUCAGGGAAUGGUUAUGGGGUUCAGAUGAGCUGAUGAACCAAGAAGGUAUUUGGAGUUCACUUCCAGUCUUAGGAGACAAACCAUACAACAGGUUGACUGAAAGAGACCAUGGGAAAGCUGUUUUGAGUAUAGCCUUGCCUCCCUUGAGAUACUAACCCUAGUUGAAAUUCUUCCCUGAAAGGUGUAAGUAAUAAAUGGGCUCUAAGUAGUGUUUUCUGCUCAUGAGACUUAAUAGGAGGGGACUUUCACGUUUACCGGGCCUGUUGUGUUCAGGGCUCUGUGCCAAAUGCCUAUGCACAUUAUCACAUUGAAUCUUCUCAUGAUCAUCUCACUCCAGCCCCAUAUAUUUCACUCACUACACAUCUAAAACUGAACUCAUGAUAGCAAUCAUGGCUACCCUUCACCAAGUACUUACUAUGUACCUAGCACUGAGUGCUGACAGCUCUGAUGUUCCCUUUACCAGGGAAUAGCACUCCCAUCCAGCCGUCGUCCAAGCCAGAAACUGGGAGUCAACUUUGACUGCUCCCUCUUCCUCAACUCCCACAUGCCUGUCAAUCCCAAGUCCUGCCAAUUCUGCCUCCCAAAUCUCUAGACUCUCCAAUUCUACUGCCACUACUCUGGUCCAAGCCACUGUCCCCUACCACCUGGACUAUUAUAAAAGCCUCCACCCUACUUUUCUUCCUUCCAGGACUGUUUCUCUAUAUCCACUCUCCACAGCCAGAAUGAUCAUUCUGAAACACAAACUUCAUCAUGAGUUUUCUGUUUAAGUCUUUAGAGGUCCCCACUAUCUUUAGGAUGAAGUUUAAAAUUCGCGUCAUAGCUUCAAAGCUUUUUAUUAUCUAGCCUACCUCUCCAUCCUUCCUCUCCUCACAGCCUCACACUCUCCUCCCCAGCUGGACUGAACUACUUUCAGUUCCCCAAAGGCCUGAGCUCACUCUCCAACCUCCAGGUCAUUGCACAUGCUGUUCCCUCUGCCCAGAACAUUGCAUCCUUUCAUUUGCUGCCUGGCUAACUCCAACUCAUUCCCUGUGUGUUGGCCAGGUUAAGUUCUCCUGCCAUCUGCAUGCCUCUAUAACACAUGGAUCUUAGUUCUGCCACACCAUGUUGUAAUUACUUGUCUGCCUUCCAUGCUCAACUAUACAUCAGAGACAAUGUCUACUUUGCCCACCUUUGUAUCCCUAGGGCUGGCACAUGAUGGAAGUUAAUAAAUAUUUGGUGAC